AGCGAACGCUGGCGGCAGGCCUAACACAUGCAAGUCGAACGAACCUUUCGGGGUUAGUGGCGGACGGGUGAGUAACACGUGGGAACGUGCCUUUAGGUUCGGAAUAACUCAGGGAAACUUGUGCUAAUACCGAAUGUGCCCUUCGGGGGAAAGAUUAAUCGCCUUUAGAGCGGCCCGCGUCUGAUUAGCUAGUUGGUUGAGGUAAUGGCUCACCAAGGCGACGAUCAGUAGCUCGUCUGAGAGGAUGAUCAGCCACAUUGGGACUGAGACACGGCCCAAACUCCUACGGGAGGCAGCAGUGGGGAAUCUUGCGCAAUGGGCGAAAGCCUGACGCAGCCAUGCCGCGUGAAUGAUGAAGGUCUUAGGAUUGUAAAAUUCUUUCACCGGGGACGAUAAUGACGGUACCCGGAGAAGAAGCCCCGGCUAACUUCGUG
rnacentral:rRNA from 1 species